GCGAAGGCGAGUUCCUGGACAAGUCCUGACGCUGAGGCACGAAAGCCGGGGGAGCAAACAGGAUUAGAUACCCUGGUAGUCCCGGCUGUAAACGGUGCACGUUUGCUGUGAGAGGAAUCGACCCCUUUCGUGGCGGAGCUAACGCGAUAAACGUGCCGCCUGGGGAGUACGGUCGCAAGAUUGAACUCAAAGAAAUUGACGGGGGCCUGCACAAGCGGUGGAGUAUGUGGCUCAAUUCGAUGCAACGUGAAGAACCUUACCUAACCUUGACAUGCAUGUGGUAGAAGCCCGAAAGGGUAACGACCCCGCAAGGGGAGCAUGCACAGGAGAUGCAUGGCUGUCGUCAGCUCGUGUCGUGAGAUGUUGGGUUAAGUCCCGCAACGAGCGCAACCCUUGCGUCCUGUUACCACCCCUACGAGAGUAGGGAGCAAUCUGGACGGACUGCCUCGCUUCAACGGGGAGGAAGGUGGGGAUGACGUCAAGUCAGUAUGGCCCUUACGGCCAGGGCUGCACACGUAAUACAAUGCCCGGUACAAAGGGAUGCCAAACCGAAAGGUGGAGCAAAUCCCCCAAAAUCCGGGCCCAGUUCAGAUUGAGGUCUGCAACUCGACCUCAUGAAACCGGAAUCGCUAGUAAUGGCGCAUCAGCUACGGCGCCGUGAAUACGUUCCCAGGCCUUGUACACACCGCCCGUCACAUCAUGAAAGCCGGUUGUACCCGAAGUCCAUGUAGGAACCGCAAGUUUAUUUAGGGCCGAAGGUAUGGUUGGGAUAUGAUGAGUCGACCCCCCGUAUCACUAGU
rnacentral:rRNA from 1 species